GUGGGGAAUCUUAGACAAUGGGGGAAACCCUGAUCUAGCCAUGCCGCGUGAUCGAUGAAGGCCUUAGGGUUGUAAAGAUCUUUCGCUGGGGAAGAUAAUGACUGUACCCAGUAAAGAAGCCCCGGCUAACUCCGUGCCAGCAGCCGCGGUAAUACGGAGGGGGCUAGCGUUAUUCGGAAUUACUGGGCGUAAAGCGCACGUAGGCGGACUGGAAAGUUGGGGGUGAAAUCCCGGGGCUCAACCUCGGAACUGCCUUCAAAACUCCCAGUCUUGAGUUCGAGAGAGGUGAGUGGAAUUCCGAGUGUAGAGGUGAAAUUCGUAGAUAUUCGGAGGAACACCAGUGGCGAAGGCGGCUCACUGGCUCGAUACUGACGCUGAGGUGCGAAAGCGUGGGGAGCAAACAGGAUUAGAUACCCCUGUAGUCC
rnacentral:rRNA from 1 species